UACAGAGGUCUCAAGCGUUGUUCGGAUUCAUUGGGCGUAAAGGGCGCGUAGGCGGGCUGUCAAGUUUGGGGUGAAAUCCCGCGGCUCAACCGUGGAACUGCCUCAAAUACUGACGGUCUCGAGGGAGGUAGGGGCGAGCGGAACUGAUGGUGGAGCGGUGAAAUGCGUUGAUAUCAUCAGGAACCGUCGGUGGCGAAGGCGGCUCGCUGGACCUUUUCUGACGCUGAGGCGCGAAAGCUAGGGGAGCAAACGGG
rnacentral:rRNA from 1 species